rfam:Triticum aestivum genome assembly, contig: Triticum_aestivum_CS42_TGACv1_scaffold_578154_7BL
CAAGAACUCCCUCCGUCCCAUAUUAGUUGUCGCUGAAAUGGAUGUAUCUAGACGUAUUUCAGUGCUAGAUACAUCUGUUUAAGCGACAACUAAUAUUGGACGGAUGGAGUAGUGA